rnacentral:rRNA from 1 species
UAAUACGUAGGUGGCAAGCGUUGUCCGGAUUUACUGGGCGUAAAGGGCUUGUAGGCGGUUUGUUAAGUCUGGUGUGAAAUCUCCCGGCUCAACCGGGAGGGGUCAUCGGAUACUGGCAGACUUGAGACGGGUAGAGGAAAGCAGAAUUCCCGGUGUAGCGGUGAAAUGCGUAGAUAUCGGGAGGAAUACCAGUGGCGAAGGCGGCUUUCUGGGCCUGUUCUGACGCUGAGGAGCGAAAGCGUGGGGAGCAAACCGGAUUAGAUACCCGGGUAGUCCACGCCCUAAACGGUGGAUGCUAGGUGUGGGGGGUGUCGACCCCCUCCGUGCCGCAGCUAACGCUUUAAGCAUCCCGCCUGGGGAGUACGGCCGCAAGGCUA